GACGAACGCUGGCGGCGUGCUUAACACAUGCAAGUCGAACGGAAAGGCCCUGCUUGCAGGGUGCUCGAGUGGCGAACGGGUGAGUAACACGUGGGUGAUCUGCCCCUUACUUUGGGAUAAGCCUGGGAAACUGGGUCUAAUACUGGAUAGGACCAUGCUGUAGGUGGUGUGGUGGAAAGAUUAGUUUCGGUAAGGGAUGAGCUCGCGGCCUAUCAGCUUGUUGGUGGGGUAAUGGCCUACCAAGGCGUCGACGGGUAGCCGGCCUGAGAGGGUGGACGGCCACGUUGAGACUGAGAUACGGCCCAGACGCCUGCGGGAGGCAGCAGUGGGGAAUAUUGCACAAUGGGCGCAAGCCUGAUGCAGCGACGCCGCGUGGGGGAUGACGGCCUUCGGGUUGUAAACUCCUUUCGGCCAUGACGAAGCGCUUGUGGUGACGGUAGUGGUAGAAGAAGCACCGGCUAACUACGUG
rnacentral:rRNA from 1 species